rnacentral:rRNA from 1 species
CGGUAUGACGGUACCCUUUCGAAUAAGAGGUUGCUAACUCUGUGCCAGCAGCAGCGGUAAUACAGAGACCUCGAGCGUUAUCCGGAUUUACUGGGCGUAAAGCGUCUGUAGGGGGUUUGUUAAGUUCCAAGUAAAAUCUUAAGGCUCAACUUUAAGUUCGCUUGGAAAACUAAUAAACUGGAGUCCAGCAGAGGUGCAUGGAACUUGCGGUGUAGGAGUGAAAUCCGUUGAUAUCGCAAGGAACACCAAAGGCGAAGGCAUUGCACUGGGCUGGUACUGACCCUGAGAGACGAAAGCGUGGGGAGCAAAACGGAUUAGAUACCCGUGUAGUGCACGCCGUAAACGAUGGAUAGUAGAUGUUUGGGGAUUUGACCCCCUGGGUGUCACAGCUAACGCGUUAAGUAUCCCGCCUGGGAAGUACGGCCGCAAGGCUAAAACUCAAAGGAAUAGUCGGGGAUCCGCACAAGCGGUGGAGCGUGUGGUUUAAUUUGAUAGUAAGCAAUGGACCUCACCAAGGUUUGACAUCAUAUGACAACCUUGGAAACAGGGCUUCCUUCGGGCAUAGUGACAGGUGCUGCAUGGUGGUAGUCAGUUCGUGCCGUGAGGUGUUCCGUUAAGUCGGGAAACGAACGAAACCCCCGUGGCAUGUUACAAAUUUCAUGCGAGACUGCCCGGGUCAACCGGGAGGAAGGCGGGGAUGACGUCAGAUCAGCAUGGCCCUUAUACCUUGGGCUACACAGGCGCUACAAUGGC